rnacentral:rRNA from 1 species
GAUGAACGCUGGCGGCGUGCUUAACACAUGCAAGUCGAACGGACUUAUUUUGAAAGCUUGCUUUUAAAAUAAGUUAGUGGCGGACGGGUGAGUAACGCGUGGGUAACCUGCCUCGUACAGGGGGAUAACAGUUAGAAAUGACUGCUAAUACCGCAUAACCCGCUAAGGUCGCAUGACCUGGACGGAAAAGAUUUAUCGGUACGAGAUGGACCCGCGUCUGAUUAGCUAGUUGGUGAGGUAACGGCCCACCAAGUCGACGAUCAGUAGCCGGUCUGAGAGGAUGAACGGCCACAUUGGGACUGAGAUACGGCCCAGACUCCUACGGGAGGCAGCAGUGGGGAAUAUUGGGCAAUGGGGGGAACCCUGACCCAGCAACGCCGCGUGAAGGAAGAAGGCCUUCGGGUUGUAAACUUCUUUUACCAGGGACGAAGAACGUGACGGUACCUGGAGAAAAAGCAACGGCUAACUACGUG